CGGGGGUUCCCACCCCAUUUUUAGCUGAAAGCACUGAGGCAGAGCUCCCCCGACCCAGGCUCCACUACCCGGCAUAGAAAUAACAACCAUGGUUACUGAUCAUCUGGGAGCUGUCCAGGAAUCCGACAGGGAGCCGGACGGGCCACACCAGCCACAGGCACCAAAUGGAAGACCCGGCACUUCAGCCUCCACACAGAGCCCAUCCAUCUUCCCCUUGACCCACUGCUGCAAAAACAUUCCCUCCAAUGCCACCUCCGUGACACUGGGCUGCCUGGUCACGGGCUACUUCCCAGAGCCGGUGAUGGUGACCUGGGACGCAAGCUCCCUCCAUGGGACAACUAUGACCUUACCAGCCACCACCCUCACGCCCUCUGGUCACUAUGCCACCAUCAGCUUGCUGACCGUCUCGGGUGCGUGGGCCAAGCAGAUGUUCACCUGCCGGGUGGCACACACUCCAUCGUCCGCAGACUGGGUCGACAACAAAACUUUCGGCGUCUGCUCCAGGGACUUCACCCCACCCACCGUGAAGAUCUUACAGUCAUCCUGCGACGGCGGAGGGCACUUCCCCCUGACCAUCCAGCUCCUGUGCCUCGUCUCUGGGUACACCCCAGGGACUAUCAACAUCACCUGGCUGGAGGACGGGCAGGUCAUGGACGUGGACUUGUCCACCGCCUCUGCCACGCAGGAGGGUGAGCUGGCCUCCACACAAAGCGAGCUCACCCUCAGCCAGAAGCGCUGGCUGUCGGACCGCACCUACACCUGCCAGGUCACCUAUCAAGGUGACACCUUUGAGGACAGCACCAAGAAGUGUGCAGAUUCCAACCCGAGAGGGGUGAGCGCCUACCUAAGCCGGCCCAGCCCGUUCGACCUGUUCAUCCGCAAAUCGCCCACGAUCACCUGUCUGGUGGUGGACCUGGCACCCAGCAAGGGGACCGUGAACCUGACCUGGUCCCGGGCCAGUGGGAAGCCUGUGAACCACUCCACCGGAAAGCAGGAGAAGCAGCGCAAUGGCACGUUAACCGUCACGUCCACCCUGCCGGUGGGCACCCGAGACUGGAUCGAGGGGGAGACCUACCAGUGCAGGGUGACCCACCCCCACUUGCCCAGGGCCCUCGUGCGCUCCACGACCAAGACCAGCGGCCCGCGUGCUGCCCCGGAAGUCUAUGCGUUUGCGACGCCAGAGGAGCCGGGGAGCCGGGACAAGCGCACCCUCGCCUGCCUGAUCCAGAACUUCAUGCCUGAGGACAUCUCGGUGCAGUGGCUGCACAACGAGGUGCAGCUCCCGGAUGCCCGGCACAGCACGACGCAGCCCCACAAGACCAAGGGCUCCAGCUUCUUCGUCUUCAGCCGCCUGGAGGUGACCAGGGCCGAAUGGGAGCAGAAAGACGAGUUCAUCUGCCGUGCAGUCCAUGAGGCAGCGAGCCCCUCACAGACCGUCCAGCGAGCGGUGUCUGUAAAUCCCGCCCACCUGCACCCAGCUCCGGGCCGGGAGCAGCAGAAAGAGGUGUGAGGGCCCGAGGCUGAACCUGCGCCUGCUGAUGACCCGGGACCAGCAGGGCUGGCUGGCGGCUCUGCGCAGUCCCAGAGGGCCCCGGAUAGGGUUCUCUGCCACUCUGAACAGCAGCCGGGACUGCCGAGAGCGGCAAGGGGCUCCGUCCCCCACCCCCGCUGCCACUAUGGAGCCCGGAGGGCUGACUGGCCAGGUCCCCCAGAGCUGGACGUGUGCGUGGAGGAGGCCGAGGGCGAGGCGCCGUGGACGUGGACUGGCCUCUGCAUCUUCGCCGCACUCUUCCUGCUCAGCGUGAGCUACAGCGCUGCCAUCAUGCUCCUCAUGGUGGGCUCCCACCUCCAGGGGCCAGGCCAGGGCAGGGGGCUGGGCAGAGCCAGCAGAGCGCCCUGACCCACGCCCUCCCCUCAGGUGCAGCAGUUCCUCUCAGCCACGCGGCAGGGGAGGCCCCAGACCUCCCUCGGCUACACCAACAUCCUUCAGCCCCACGCCUAGGCCAUGGGCCACUCACACUCCAACAGGCCCAGCUCUUUCUCUGCCGGCGCCUGAGCCUCCCUCGGGCUGCGCCCUGCCCUGGGUGGGAAAAGGGAAGCAGACAAGAGAAGGGGACACAAGGUCACUACUGUGGGCUGAUCAGUGAAUCUGAGCCCAGAGGGGGCCGGCUCAGCCGCAAGGUUAAAGGCGCCGACAGACCCACCAGUCGCAGCCCCCCACCCUAAAACAGUGUCUGUCCCUUCAACAGAGUCAUCGAGGAGGGGGUGGCUGCUAGCCGUUCUAGCUCAUCCCAGGCCCCUGGGUCUCAGGGUCACUCCCAUUCUGACUGUACAAUCACCAAAAGCCAAGGAGGGCCCGGCACCCAGCCCAGGACACAGCUGAGUCUGCGUCCAGCCCAACACCAGCCCACGGCCUCACUCCCCAGCCUUGGUCUGACCCUUCUAGCCCUGAGGUCCAAGUGCCUGGCAUCCCCGUCCCCCAAGCCUCACUCAGACCUUCUUUCCCUUCACCCACCCCUCCUGCCAUCCAUCCACUGCCCCCAUCCCUUCACCCACCCCUCCUGCUAUCUGUCCCCAGCCCCCAUCCCUUCACCCACCCCUCCUGCCAUCCAUCCGCAGCCUCCAUCCCUUCACGCACCCCUCCUGCCACCCAUCCCCAGCCCCCAUCCCUUCACCCACCCCUCCUGCCAUCUGUCCACAGCCCCCAUCCCUGCAGCCUGAAGGCACAGGGAAGCCUUCUGAGGCCAGGCCACAGGACUGUUGAGGGCUUUGGGCCCCUGGAGUGGGUAGAGGGGCUCCCACAGCCAGAGAAGGGGUUUCCUGCAGGGACAGCAGCUGCUGACCUCGUCCCUGUGACCUCGUCCAGCCUCUGGCUUCAGCAGUCCUAUUUCUUUCCCUCUGGGUUUCUUAGUAAAGUUCCUUUUCAC